rnacentral:rRNA from 1 species
ACUCCUACGGGAGGCAGCAGUAGGGAAUUUUCCGCAAUGGACGAAGUCAUGACGGACGGCAAUGCCGCAGCUGAGUGAUGAAGGUUUUCGAAUCGUAAAGCUCUGUUGUAAGGGAAGAAUAGCAAGAAUAGGAAAUGAUUCUUGUCUGACGGUACCUUACCAGAAAGCCACGGCUAACUACGUGCCAGCAGCCGCGGUAAUACGUAGGUGGCAAGCGUUAUCCGGAAUUAUUGGGCGUAAAGCGCAUGUAGGCGGCUUUUUAAGUCUGAUGUGAAAGCCUGUGGCUCAACCACAGAAUUGCAUUGGAUACUGGAGAGCUAGAAUCUUGGAGAGGUAAGUGGAAUUUCAUGUGUAGCGGUGGAAUGCGUAGAUAUAUGAAGGAACACCAAUGGCGAAGGCAGCUUACUGGACAAGUAUUGACGCUGAGAUGCGAAAGUGUGGUAGCAAACAGGAUUAGAUACCCUGGUAGACUGUCAU